CGAUAUAAUAAUUAAAUGAAGCGGGAUCCAUAUAUUUAAUUAUGGUUAAAUAGUAAAAAUUAACGAGCGAACCGCACAUGUAAAUAAAAAGUGAAUAAGUUUCGAAAUUGUUUGUGGGGGUGGGAAUCAUUAGUCCUCAAUCAGCAACCCAAGGUGGGUCCAAUAUUUGAUGCUGCAGAAUCAAGAUUGCGAUGUUGUUUGUUCAGAUUUGACCUUUCCGCUGUACAGAGUGUCACUUAAUAUUUGAAGUAUGUGAAUACAAAUAACAUCACUCAAACAAAAAGCAAAGUCUGAAUUUUUUAAACGUCUUGAGUAAGAGCCAAAUUCAUCAGAUAUCUUAGAUAAAAAAU
rnacentral:lncRNA from 1 species